AUACUCUGGUUUCUCUUUAGAUUGUAUAAAUCUUUCACCUUUUACUAAAGGUUUCCACGGAGAGAAACAAUGCUGAGUCUUGAUGGUAACACAUUGUAAUGAGUA
rnacentral:snRNA from 1 species